rnacentral:rRNA from 1 species
UACGAAGGGGGCUAGCGUUGCUCGGAAUCACUGGGCGUAAAGCGCACGUAGGCGGAUUGUUAAGUCAGGGGUGAAAUCCUGGAGCUCAACUCCAGAACUGCCUUUGAUACUGAAGAUCUUGAGUUCGGGAGAGGUGAGUGGAACUGCGAGUGUAGAGGUGAAAUUCGUAGAUAUUCGCAAGAACACCAGUGGCGAAGGCGACUUACUGGACACAUAUUGACGCUGAGGUGCGAAAGCGUGGGGAGCAAACAGG